AUGGAUCUAGACCUGGGCGUCUACAUCAAAUAUCGGCUGGAUGGCUCACUAUUCGACCUUCACCGCCUGACUGGAAAAACAAAGACCACAGAGAGACUCAUCCUGGAAGCUCUCUUCACAGAUGACUGUGCUCUCAUGGCCCACCAAGAAAAUCAUCUCCAAACCAUUGUGGACAGGUUCUCCACCGCAACAAAACUGUGUGGCCUGACUAUCAGCCUCAGCAAAACAGAGGUGCUGUUCCAACCCACACCAGGGAGGCCAACGAACCAGCCGUGCAUUACAAUCGACAGCACGCAGCUUUCUAACGUCAACACUUUCAAGUACCUGGGCAGCACCAUUGCCAACGACGGGCCCCUAGACCACGAGAUCAAUGCCAGGAUCCAAAAGGCCAGCCAGGCACUUGGGCAGCUGCGCUCCAAAGUCCUCCAACACAGAGGUGUAAGCACUGCGACGAAGCUCAAAGUGUACAACGCAGCGGUCCUCAGCUCGCUCCUGUACGGUUGUGAGACAUGGACACUGUGCCUGAAGCACAUGAAGCAGCUGGAGCAAUUCCACCAACGCUCCCUCCGGUCAAUCAUGAGGAUCCGAUGGCAGGACCGAAUCACCAACCAGGAAGUCUUUGACAGAGCCAACUCCACCAGCAUCGAAGUCCUGGUCCUCCAAACCCAGCUACGAUGGUCUGGACACGUCAUCCGCAUGGACCCACAGCGAAUACCAAGACAGGUAUUCUACGGUGAACUGUCAGCUGGACUCAGGAAACAAGGCCGACCAAAGAAAAGAUUCAAGGAUCAGCUAAAGUCCAACUUGAAGUGGGCUGGCAUGACACCAAAGCAACUAGAACUCGCUGCCUCUGACAGAAGCAGCUGGCGAACCCACAUUCACCAGGCCGCCGCCACCUUUGAAGAUGAGCGACGACGACGUCUUGCCGCUGCGCGUGAACGCCGACACCAGGCCACAACCGCACCUCCCGUAACAACUGGCGUCCCAGGCCCCGUGUGCCACACACUCUGCGCCUCAGCCUUUGGACUCCAAAGCCACAUGACGGUACACCGUAGAUGA
rnacentral:lncRNA from 1 species